rnacentral:rRNA from 1 species
AUUGAACGCUGGCGGCGUGCUUAACACAUGCAAGUCGAUCGGUAACGCGGGGGCAACCCUGGCGACGAGAGGCGGACGGGUGAGGAACGCUUGGGAAUCUGCCCUUCAGCGGGGGACAACACGGGGAAACUCGUGCUAAUACCGCAUACGCUCCACGGAGGAAAGCCGGGGACCGCAAGGCCUGGCACUGAAGGAUGAGCCCAAGUCGGAUUAGCUAGUUGGGGGGGUAACGGCCCACCAAGGAGACGAUCCGUAGCUGGUCUGAGAGGACGAUCAGCCACACUGGGAAUGAGACACGGCCCGGACUCCUACGGGAGGCAGCAGUGGGGAAUAUUGGACAAUGGGGGAAACCCUGAUCCAGCGACGCCGCGUGGGUGAAGAAGGCCUGCGGGUUGUAAAGCCCUUUCGGUAGGGACGAAAGCUCUCGACCUAACACGUCGGGAGGUUGACUUAACCUACAAAAGAAGCACCGGCUAACUCUGUGCCAGCCGCCGCGGUAACAC